rnacentral:lncRNA from 1 species
GUCCCCCGCGUCGUCUCCGAAGGAACAAUGGGAACACACAAGGACUGCAUUUUUUUCUCCCCCCCAGGAAAACAAGCUCGAAUAAACUCUCCUCCCUGGGUUGCAGAAGCUGCACUAAAUCCGGACGGAGCCAGGCCUCUUGGCCUCCCGGCCGAUGGGCCCCAAGCCUCCUUAGAUUCCUCCAGAAUCAAGAUUCUUCCCACACGCCUGUUGAAGGGAACAUACAGAGAGAGGGAGAGAGAGAGGGGUUCCCUUGGCAGAGAAAGUUCCGAGGACAGGACAGGCCGUGGGGAAGACCAAAAUAAAACCAAACAGGAUCCUUUUCGACCUAAGUGUAUAGACUACACAUUUGUGUCUCCCCCCAAAUUUGUAUGUGGAAGCCCUAAGAC